rnacentral:rRNA from 1 species
GUGCCAGCAGCCGCGGUAAUACGUAGGGUGCAAGCGUUGUCCGGAAUUAUUGGGCGUAAAGAGCUCGUAGGCGGUCUGUCGCGUCGGCUGUGAAAACUCGGGGCUCAACCCCGAGCCUGCAGUCGAUACGGGCAGACUAGAGUGCUGUAGGGGAGACUGGAAUUCCUGGUGUAGCGGUGAAAUGCGCAGAUAUCAGGAGGAACACCGGUGGCGAAGGCGGGUCUCUGGGCAGUAACUGACGCUGAGGAGCGAAAGCGUGGGGAGCGAACAGGAUUAGAUACC